UAUUAACACUCGUACUUUUGUGUUAUUUCCUCUUUUUACAUCGCUUCCUGAACAGUUCUUAAAAAACCUCACAUAUGUAGAAAUGACUUCUCUAUGAAACUCGUAAGAAUAUUAAACAUCAUAUUUGUCGAGGAAAAAGUUCCACAGGAAAAAGACUCCUUUAAACUUCACUUUUUUGUAAGAAGAUGGCUGGAACUCUGACUUUUCUUCUCAUUAGUUCUCUGCUGCAGGAUGCACUGUGUGGAACGUUCAACAUCAGUAUGCCACAGAAUAUAAAUGUUUUGAGAGGAUCCUGUGUGACCAUCCCCUGCUCCUUUGAUGUAGAAAGCAGAUUUGAAGAUAACUUAGAUGAUACAUGCAAAGCAUAUUGGAGCGAUUCACCUUUAUUUAGCAGUAGAAAUGCAAAACUAAAGCCAACUAAAGAAAUGACAGGAGACUUAAAAAAGAAAGACUGCACCACAACUUUCAAUAAUGCAGAUUUUCUUCAAAGUACUAAAUAUUACUUCAGACUGGAGUGUAAUAAUGCACUGAAAUACAUUUUUUCACAAGCUGGUGUAGAUAUUUCAUUCAUAGAUGUUCCUCCUUCACCGACUCUGACUCCAUCCACACUGGAGGUGAAGGAGGGAACCUCAGUGAGUCUGACGUGCUCUGCUCCAGCUCCAUGUUGGUCUCAUCCUCCAGCUCUGACAUGGAGCCCUAACCUGGGUCAGAGUCAGGAGACACUGCAGGAGAAUCAGGACAAAACUAAAGUCAAGACCUCUGUUAUGAAUUUCACUGCUUCUCACCUCCAUCAUGGAAAUAAAAUCUCCUGCACUGCUGUUUACCAGAAACAAGAUGGCAGCCCUGAUGUCACUGCUGAAACAAGUUUAACUCCUGAUAUUUCAAGUGAGUUUAUUUGUCCUCUACCAUAAAUAAUGUCACUGCUAUUGACUUACUUUUCUUGACUUUGUUCAAAUUAGAAAUAAAACAGCUCGUAACGUAAUGAUUUUAGUUAUUCUGCAGUCAUGACUCCUCUGGGAUUUGCAAAACAUAAUGGAAGACUUAAGCUCCUAAAUGUUGAUAAAUAUACAAACUUUUCCUUUUAAAUUGAUUUCCUUGAUGUAUGAUUGUCUUAAUGAUUAAAGUGAACUGCAGGUCUUCUUUUCUGAGAAUACAUGACCUAAAAUUUCCAGUGAAACAUACAAUUUCCAAGCAAUAUUGUUUACUUCUGUAGGAACUCUCUAAUACUGGCUUAGAAUAAAACAAUGCUACAUGUAAUGAGUCACAUUUGACAAUUUUUUAAAGUUUAAACUACAAUUUUUAUUUGUUGUCAUAUUAACAUAUAGGGUUUUUGGACAUUUUUUAUUAGUUAUUUCACUUUACGCAUGUGUUUGUAUACGUUUUUAAUUUCACUCUGGUGCUCAAACUGGAAAGUAGAAUUGCAGAGCAGUUUUCCUUUUGUCACUUGGCUUUAUGGUCUGUAAUGGCAUGUUCCAUUAACAAUUCAGUCAGAAUGCAAAAGAAGCUGUGAUGUCUGUCUUUCAUAAUAUUAAAGUGAACAAAUUACCUUUCAAUUUCGUUAAUAUUCCUACUUUAUUGUGUACAUACCU